rnacentral:rRNA from 1 species
GUGCCAGCAGCCGCGGUAAUACGGAGGGGGCUAGCGUUGUUCGGAAUUACUGGGCGUAAAGCGCACGUAGGCGGACUGGAAAGUCAGAGGUGAAAUCCCAGGGCUCAACCUUGGAACUGCCUUUGAAACUAUCAGUCUGGAGUUCGAGAGAGGUGAGUGGAAUUCCGAGUGUAGAGGUGAAAUUCGUAGAUAUUCGGAGGAACACCAGUGGCGAAGGCGGCUCACUGGCUCGAUACUGACGCUGAGGUGCGUAAGCGUGGGGAGCAAACAGGAUUAGAUACCCCUGUAGUCC